GGGAGUAUAGCUCAGUGGUAGAGCACAUGCUUAGUGUGCAUGAGGUCCUAGGUUCAAUCCCCGGUACCUCCA
rnacentral:tRNA from 1 species